GUAUUUUAAAUAAGGAGAGGAGGUUAACACUGCCCUGGACAGGGACGGAAGUAGCCCUGGGGCUGACGUAGCCCUGGGGCUGACAACAUGCAGAGAGAAGGCAUAGCUACCUAAUGGCUGCCUACUUGCAGGCACCUGGUGUUUCUU
rnacentral:ncRNA from 1 species